CUAUUAAAAUUACUUACUUAAGGUUAUAAUAAAACAUUUAAUUAUAGCUCUAAAAAAACAUAAGCAUCUCUUAAAACAGUAUAGAUAACUAUUACCAAUAUCUGUCUGGCCCAAAGGGACUUCCCAUGCAGUUACCAGAGAAGGGGGAAGGAGCCAAGGGGAGCACAAGUCCUCUGCCCAGAAGGAGAGAGGGGAAUUACAAAGUUUUCCGCUCAUCUGCCUACCAGGAAGAUAGAAAGAAGAAGAGGAAUGGUGCUUUACUCCCAAGGAAGAGAAAGAAGAGCCUUCUCUUUCUCUGUCUAAGAGAAAGGAGAGUAAAGAGAGAAAGAGAAAGGGUGUUUAGAAAAUCUGGAUCAUUUAUGCCCUUCCCACUACUUCUAGUAUGGUUAGAUCAUAUGGUGCUAGAGGCAGUACGUAUGAAUUAUCAUCACCACCACCAUGACCUCUAUGGAUAUGAUCUAGGACGAAGAUCUUUGAGAGAAGCAGGAACCCUUUGGGCCGCUGACCCUGCUCCCAGCCUGACCUCUGCCUACAUUGUCCCGCAGAGGAUAUCUAUGGAUAUCUGUCAGGUAACUGUCUCUGCUGGUGCUUCAUCCCCUGCCACUUCAGCUGCUGAAGACCUGGAAAAGAAAGUUCUCACCACCAAAGAACAAGGAGGUUCAAUAUCAGAAAUAGAUAUGAUCUUAUCAAUCAAAGAAACAGUAAAGAGUAUAUAUUUGUACAUCAGCCUUCUCUUCCUUGCAUCUGGAACACUAGAACAUUGCUAUUUGCCUUGCCAAUGAACCCCAAGAACAUUUCCAUUUGCUCUGCUGCUGAAUCUUCCUAUAUGUGUUGUCUCCACCUCUUAGAAUCUAAAUUUCUUGGGAGUAGGGACUGUCACACUUUUCUGUUGUGUCCUGAGUGCUUAACCCAACCCAGUGCUUUGCACAUGGUAAGUGCCUAAUAAGUAUUCAUUUAUUCACUCACAUAGCAUAAGAUCAUCAUGGAUUUUUUUUGGGGGGGGGGUGUCAUGUCACAAUAUUGACUCAUAUUGACCUUUCAGUCUAUUAAUAACCCAGGUCUUUUUUUUUUUACCUGAAUUGUUAUCUAGCCACACCUCCCCCACUAUGUACUACUGAAAAUGAUUUUUUGAUCCCAAUUAUAGGACUGUACAUUUGUCUUUAACGCAUUUAAUCUUUUAGAUCUGGUCCAUUGUUCUACUCAAUUGAGAUAUUUUUGGAUAUCACUUCUUUUGACCAAUGUGUUAUCUAUCCCAUCCCAAUUUAUGUCAUCCACAGCUUUGAUAUGUAUGCUAUUUAUGUUUUUAUCCAC
rnacentral:lncRNA from 1 species